CACGUAGGGAGCAAGCGUUGUCCGGGUUUAUUGGGCGUAAAGAGCUCGUAGGUGGUUCGGUAAGUCAGGUGUGAAACCUCCAGGCUCAACCUGGAGACGCCACUUGAUACUGCUGUGACUGGAGUCCGGUAGGGGAGCGUGGAAUUCCUGGUGUAGCGGUGAAAUGCGCAGAUAUCAGGAGGAACACCAGCGGCGAAGGCGGCGCUCUGGGCCGGUACUGACACUGAGGAGCGAAAGCGUGGGUAGCAAACAGG
rnacentral:rRNA from 1 species